AUUUUCCUCAUUCUUUGCUCCAUUUUCACCUCAUUAUCAUUAUUGAAAGAUUAAUGUACCUAAGGGUGCAAAGUUAGCAAUUUUUAAAAUUUUCUUAACCCUAAGGUUUCAUGCAACACAUAAAUCAUUUAUGCUAUUGUAAAACACAUAAUUUGGUUAUAACAAAUUAUGUUUCAAUUGCUAAUAUGUCUAAUUGCCAUUAGGAAACAAAA
rnacentral:misc_RNA from 1 species